rnacentral:rRNA from 1 species
GACGGGGACCCGCACAAGCGGUGGAUGAUGUGGUUUAAUUCGAUGCAACGCGAAAACCUUACCCACCUUUGACAUGUACGGAAGCCUUUAGAGAUAGAGGCGUGCUCGAAAGAGAGCCGUAACACAGGUGCUGCAUGGCUGUCGUCAGCUCGUGUCGUGAGAUGUUGGGUUAAGUCCCGCAACGAGCGCAACCCUUGUCAUUAGUUGCUACAUUCAGUUGGGCACUCUAAUGAGACUGCCGGUGACAAGCCGGAGGAAGGUGGGGAUGACGUCAAGUCCUCAUGGCCCUUAUAGGUGGGGCUACACACGUCAUACAAUGGCUGGUACAAAGGGUUGCCAACCCGCGAGGGGGAGCUAAUCCCAUAAAGCCAGUCGUAGUCCGGAUCGUAGUCUGCAACUCGACUACGUGAAGUCGGAAUCGCUAGUAAUCGUGGAUCAGAAUGUCACGGUGAAUACGUUCCCGGGUCUU